rnacentral:rRNA from 1 species
AUUGAACGCUGGCGGCAGGCCUAACACAUGCAAGUCGAACGAGUGGCGGACGGGUGAGUAAUGUCUGGGAAACUGCCCGAUGGAGGGGGAUAACUACUGGAACCGGUAGCUAAUACCGCAUACCAUCGGAUGUGCCCAGAUGGGAUUAGCUAGUAGGUGGGGUAACGGCUCACCUAGGCGACGAUCCCUAGCUGGUCUGAGAGGAUGACCAGCAACAUUGGAACGGGGACACGGUCAAGACUCCAACGGGGGGAAGAAGUGGGGAAGAUCGGACAAUGGGCGAAAGCCUGAGGAAGCCAGGCCGCGUGUAUGAAGAAGGCCUUCGGGUUGUAAAGUACUUUCAGCGAGGAGGCGUUACUCGCAGAAGAAGCACCGGCUAACUCCGUGCCAGCAGCCGCGGUAAUAC